AAAGGGACAGCUUUGAGAAAAGCAGGCUGCCUUGCAAAGCGAGCGAGCAAGCGGGCCUGUCCUCCCUUGACAAGGACAGUUGGCAUGUGUGACAGCUGCACAGUGGCCGGGGAUUAUCUCUCUGGCGCACACAGCCGCCUUUGCGUGGCAGGCAGGAAGGAAGCCAAGGGCAGUAUCUCCCGGGACUCACGCUGCAAUUUUCGGCGCGACCGAGAGAGGCAGCCUGAGCAAACAAAAGCCUUUUCUAUCCGCAGCUCGGACGAGGUUCCGCACAAAGACGCUUUUCCUUGCCGUUUGACCCAGCCACCCCCAGCCAGCACUGAGCUUCUCCCGGCAAUCCUAACCGCGAACGAGCGCGGCAGCUGGUCACAUUCGCUUCCUGCUCCAAAGAUCGAGGAGCAGAGCCGCCUCUCGUGGCCUCGGGAGGGGAGCGCGGUGUUUUGUGGUCGGUUAACCGGCCGGCUGGCCGGCUUGCCUUCCGCCGCUCGUUCACCCGUUUGCCUGGCGCUGCCAGCCAGCGCAACUACACAACGGCAAGCUCCCAUUUGUAGGCCUUGGCCGAGAAGAAAGAGCCAGUGUGCGGCCGUACCCCAAGGUGGCUGAACGCCAGCAAUUACGGGUUCCCGCUCUGGCGCUUCCCUCUCCAGCUGGAGGUGGAGUUGGCGAGGGAGCGCGUUGAUUACAAGCGGCUUGCGUGAUCGCGCGCAGGAUUAGGGCUCGGGCUGAGUAAGGAAGAAGACGGAGGCGCCAUUUGCUGCCGCAACACACCACCUCUCGGGCGUACGAAAGCGAGUGGCAGUCGGGAACCUCCACAGGGCAUGCUGAGGCGGGGAGUGAAAGGGGCGGGCGGGGCCGGGCUGUUGACAAUCUGCUAGGCAGAAACUUACUAGCUCCCGGCCAAGUGGGAAAUGCGGGUAGUUUCCAGUUUCCAGACAUAGUAAUAGGAAACCACAUGGCGGAAAGUCCUCCUACCCUAGCCCUGAAUGAGUUGCAGGCUGGCGCAAUACUUAAAGGGCGAGACGCCCGCUUGCAUUCCCUAGUGGAGACGUUCGUUUAAAAAUGAAAAGGGGGAGGGAAGAUUGCACCUAAUCUCUCCCCAAAAGAUUUUUUGACAGGACGGUAGAUGAGACGGUAAUAUACAUUCGGUAAAAAAGCCGCUUCCCAUACAUUUCUAUUCUUCUCCGUUUAAAACAAGGUGGGGGUGGGGGAAAUCCGACAGCGCUGGGCUGCUCCCAAGCCUCUAGUGUUAAAUCGAGACCGACUCAGUCAACCCCUCGGCUAAUCUCCCAUACGCUAAUUGAGAGAAUGUCUUUAUGAAUGAAUGCGUCCGACUAUGCCCUUAAGGCAAUCGGCGUUGCCUACCUCUGAGAGGGGAACUGGUAACGAGUCAGGCACAUUACGUCAGACUGGAGGUUUUUCUAAAGAGAAAAAUGUGGAAAUAAGGCUCGAGGCUUUGGUUCCUGAUGAGCGAUCCUGGGUUAGAAAGGAUAGAGGAGUGUUGGUUGAGAAAGACAGCCCACCCCGGCCCUUCCUUUUCCCGCGGAUUGUGUUGAACUGCCUUGUGUUUCAGUUGGACAGGAUGCAGUUUGUUGUUCAGAAAAGGGAUGAGAAACCCACAUAUUACCAGCAACAGUAGAGUUUCAGAGUAAUCCUUAGUGACCUGAUUGUUAAUGAGGACAAGACCAUUUUGGCUUCAUCUUGGGACAGAUACACUAGGCAGCACAGACUUUCACAAUGGAAAUGGCAACUGUUAUGUUAGCAUUGUUUUGUGCUGAUUCAAGGAACAGUAGGAAGCAUUUUAAUCCAAUACUGUGGAAAGUCUUCCUCCUUUUCUUGUUUUUCCCCUCUUUUAGAAUGUUCUUUAGUGAUUCGGGAUUAAGUGGACUUUUCUGCAAUGCUCUGGCUUCAAAUGCACAGAUGCAAAGUAAAGCAUAAUAAAGAGUGUAGGAUCACAUUGUUUCUGGAGCAUAACAGUGUCUGCUAAUCUCCCAUCCUGUUCUUUCGCCCCACUCAUUUAAAACAAACUGCCUACUCAGUGUCUGUCUUACAUGUAAUGUAAAUGAGAGAGCAUCCUUCACAUUACAAGGAUAAUUUAAAAUGAAGUUUAACUUCCUGAAUCUCUUGAAAAAGCUGGGUGUUUCCUUUUGUGAAUGGCAAAAUUGACCUGUUAUUGAAGAGAAUAUAUGUAACUUCAUAACAAUCAAAUAAAAUAGUAACCUGCCAGCUCAGAAAAUAAGAAAUCCAUUUAACCUUUUUUUAAAAAAAUAUUUCUUGUGAAUUUAUAGUGGCUGCCAUUUCUUGCGGAUAUACUUGGAAAGUAUUGCUGAGAUAAGGGACAAUGGAAAAGCUUCCAAACUGAUCUUGCCUCUAUCCUAGUGCUUUGUCUUUAUUCAUAAAAUGCAGGUAUUAGUCAACUAGAAUCAAGAAUAAAAAAUGCAGAAAUGAAAGGUGGACAUUCUGUGGUUCACAAAGAUUGGUGGUCUGCAUAAAUCAUCUCAAUUAGUCAUGCUGUUUAAGGCUGCUAGAAGCUGGAAUCCAACAAAUUCUGGAGGGCAAAGGUUACCCAUCCCUGUUUGGAAUAAGGCUUCAUCAGCUGGUGUCUCCAGAAAUCUUAGCCAAAACUCUGGUUAUCUGCAUUUGCCAUUCUGCUGGAGGAUUAUGGAAGUUGAAACCUAUUACAUCUGGAGGUCAUA